AUUGAACGCUGGCGGCAGGCCUAACACAUGCAAGUCGAGCGGGGUUUUCGGACCUAGCGGCGGACGGGUGAGUAAUGCGUAGGAAGCUACCCGAUAGAGGGGGAUACCAGUUGGAAACGACUGUUAAUACCGCAUAAUGUCUACGGACCAAAGUGUGGGACCUUCGGGCCACAUGCUAUCGGAUGCGCCUACGUGGGAUUAGCUAGUUGGUGAGGUAAUGGCUCACCAAGGCGACGAUCCCUAGCUGGUUUGAGAGGAUGAUCAGCCACACUGGAACUGAGACACGGUCCAGGCUCCGACGGGAGGCAGCAGUGGGGAAUAUUGGACAAUGGGCGCAAGCCUGAUUCAGCCAUGCCGCGUGUGUGAAGAAGGCCUUCGGGUUGUAAAGCACUUUCAGUAGGGAGGAAGCGUUGUGUGUUAAUAAUACACAGCGUUGACGUUACCUACAGAAGAAGCACCGGCUAACUCUGUGCCAGCAGCCGCCGUAGCAC
rnacentral:rRNA from 1 species